GAUGAACGCUGGCGGCGUGCUUAACACAUGCAAGUCGAACGAUGAAGCCCAGCUUGCUGGGUGGAUUAGUGGCGAACGGGUGAGUAACACGUGAGUAACCUGCCCUUGACUCUGGGAUAAGCCUGGGAAACUGGGUCUAAUACUGGAUAUGACUUCUCAUCGCAUGGUGGGGGGUGGAAAGAUUUAUUGGUCUUGGAUGGACUCGCGGCCUAUCAGCUUGUUGGUGAGGUAAUGGCUCACCAAGGCGACGACGGGUAGCCGGCCUGAGAGGGUGACCGGCCACACUGGGACUGAGACACGGCCCAGACUCCUACGGGAGGCAGCAGUGGGGAAUAUUGCACAAUGGGCGCAAGCCUGAUGCAGCGACGCCGCGUGAGGGAGGACGGCCUUCGGGUUGUAAACCUCUUUCAGUAGGGAAGAAGCGAGAGUGACGGUACCUGCAGAAGAAGCGCCGGCUAACUACGU
rnacentral:rRNA from 1 species